rnacentral:rRNA from 1 species
AUUGAACGCUGGCGGCAUGCCUUACACAUGCAAGUCGAACGGUAACAGGCCGCAAGGUGCUGACGAGUGGCGAACGGGUGAGUAAUGCAUCGGAACGUGCCCAGUUGUGGGGGAUAACUGCUCGAAAGAGCAGCUAAUACCGCAUACGACCUGAGGGUGAAAGCGGGGGAUCGCAAGACCUCGCGCAAUUGGAGCGGCCGAUGUCAGAUUAGGUAGUUGGUGGGGUAAAGGCCUACCAAGCCGACGAUCUGUAGUUGGUCUGAGAGGACGACCAGCCACACUGGGACUGAGACACGGCCCAGACUCCUACGGGAGGCAGCAGUGGGGAAUUUUGGACAAUGGGCGCAAGCCUGAUCCAGCAAUGCCGCGUGCAGGAAGAAGGCCUUCGGGUUGUAAACUACUUUUGUCAGGGAGGAAAUCCCUAGUGCUAAUAACACUGGGGGAUGACAGUACCUGAAGAAUAAGCACCGGCUAACUACGUGCCAGCCGCCGCCGUAA